AUCACCCAAAAUCCUUUUACAUCUAAAAGUUUUAAACAACUUGAACUCUAGAAAAAACCAUUUAUAUCUUUCGACCUUUAUUAAGCCUUCAUUUUCCUAAAUGAUCCCCAUAUCACUCUUCCAUUUUCUCCACGCUAUCAUCAUUACUUUUUCGUUUUUUCAAAACGAUUUCUUUUCCUAUCAUGAAAAAUAUGGCUAUUUAUACCUCAAUUGUUUUUCAAUUUCCUUAUUUUUUGUUUUAACUCACGUCUCAAACUUCCUAUGUUGUUUUGAAACCUUUUCAAACUCUUAUGCAAUGAAUGAUGAUUUUUCUUCUGGUAGGAAAAGGAACUCACCUUCAUCUCAUGAGAAAAGGAAAUCCAACCAUCUGAAGUUUCCUCGAUGGUGAUUGACAUUCUCCUCGAACAACUUAAAGUUCAGAUAGCUCUGCAAGAUCACCAAAAGUUGGAUCUUCUAAGCUGUCAAAUGGAGGAUGUAGUUGGGGUCUUGAGGAGUGUCUUUAGAUGUCUUUAGAUCAUCUGUCUAAGAUUAGGUUCUCUUAAGUUUAUUUAUUUUCUUUCUUAGCCUUAUUUGUAAUCAUCGUUCUCAUCUCAAUGAAAUGUUAC
rnacentral:lncRNA from 1 species